ACUUCACCUCGGAGAACAAUCUCUGCAUAUUUGAAAUCUAUCUGUGACUCUGUGCUAGGUAUGCUUCAAAUGCGUAUGCGUAUGAGCUACCAUGGACCUGUAUAAACAUAAAAGUUUGGAUGAUGUUACAUACGGCUGUGUGUGGCUUAAUACAUGUCGAUAUCGAUCUAUAUCUGCGUGUGGACGUAACUGCAGACUCUCUUAUGAUUAUCGUGUUUAAUAUUAUAUAUAUAUAUAUAUACACAUAUGUACAUUUUGAAGUGUUUCCUAAGAAUUAUAAGGUAGAAGGAAAGAGCGAGAGAAGUAGCAAAGGGAAGAGAAAGAAAGAAAGGUCCUUAGAUUUAAAGCAGCAACACGACGGCAACGCCGACUAUUUCUGUCGUUUUGACUGGUGAAAUUUUCAAGAGGCCAUCAUUGAUUUUACUCCUCUCGCGCUCCGAGCGCCGCCCUCUCUCUCUCUCUCUCUCUCUCUCUCUCUCUCUCUCUCUCUCUCUCUCUCUCUCUCGCACGUUUGCUCUCGGCGCUUCGUCGCGCGCCCUUCUACGACUAUCCCUCGCAUCGAUCACCCGUACUGUCCACGCAAAAUAACGAUUAGCUCGAAAGCGCAACAUGUACAUCAUCAGAAGUGCGUGCGCGCGUGUGUCGAACUGUACAACUUUCGUGGAGGUAUUGCGCAUACUGUAAGGCCAAAAGAAAGAUAUAGAAGGAGCUUUCAAGGAUGGAGAAGCGAAAGGAAUGGAUUUCUGGCGAGUGGUGUACGAAUUUGCUGAGAAAAAAACACUACAUCCGUGACCAACAGUGGUUGCUCCAGCCGGAAGAGAGAAGGGGACAUGAAGUUAAAUAUUUAAAAUCUUUGAGAUAUAAGGGUGCGUGCAUAGGCGUCACGUUAUCGGUAAAAGACGUCGAAACCCCAGGUGCAUCGUACGUGUUUACGAGUCUCCGAACGGCCCAACUUUGGAGCCUCGAGCGGAGGCCACCGGCAACUUUGAAGGUUGUUUUGUCGGAUAUAUCACUGGAAUGUACCAGGUGUUCGACUGCCCUCUCCUUCGACUUUCAAGGGUACCAUCAACGACUUUGCGUCGAAGAUCGAAGACGUUGACCUUUUCCGAACACGGUGCUUCGUCUUGUCCCAGAACUAUAGCAUCCCCUUGGAUGUCGUUGAAAGUGCGCAAAGGGAUCUUCAACGAGGCAAGAUCUUCGAAAAGAUGAGAAGGAAGAGAGGAUGGAAAGAGGGAAUAAAGGAAGGUAGGCAGAAAGGAAGGAAGAAAGGAAGAAAAGAAGAAAGGAAGGAAGGAAGGAAGGAAGGAAGGAAGAAUAGUGUGGACACAGCAGUGUCCUCGUGGGGAUAGGAGAGGGCAAGCAAGGCUUUUGCCACUUGGCACGUGGGUAGAGCAGUUACUUUAAUUCUUUAUAAGCAAGACACCGUUAUCGAGUUAGCUCGAGCCGGAAGGAGAAAAAGAAAGCUUUCAGCCUGCGGUGUGAUAAAGAAAGAUCGGAUAAGCUGUUGCUGGGAGAACGAUGUUCUUAUACAUAAAAAAAGAAAGAAAAAAAAAAAAAGAAAGAACGAAAAAAAAGAAAGAAAAAAAGAAAAAAGAAAAAGAAAAGAGAAAAAAAAAAGAAAGAACAGUCAAGAACGAUGCCACACCGAGAUUUUCUGAAUGUCCCGUAAAUAUAUUUUUUAUGACAUCUGUUCUUUACGAUUCUUGGGGGUCAUCAUCCACGUUAACGUUCGAAAAAGAAAGAGGAAAUGAAAGACUACAAAGGGUAGUUAUACCAAGUUACUCAUAUUUUAUAUCAGUUUUCAUAUUGAUCAGUCGUAUAGCAAAAUCGUAAAGGUUUUAGUAUGUAUAACGAUUUAACUCCAUUUCAAAAUUUAACGAGUAAACAGAUUUGGAAAAAAGGAAAGAACCUAACAAAAUUCAAGUUACUAUUUCGGACAAGAACAUGCUUUGUAGUUUAUUAAAUGAUACGGAGAGAAGAGAACGAUAGUAAGACAACUAGCCGUUGCUCCUUGUAUUCUCGAAACUCCGUAGCAUACACCUUUGUACUUUCUGAAAACGAAGAACAAGAGAAUAGUUUGGUAGCUACUAGGAAGACCGAGUGAUUUAUCUGAAGUCGUGUUUCGUAACAACCGCCUUAGAUUAACCGAAUUACCGGAUCUCCGUGUCCGGUAGCUAACAGACAUACAUACAUACAUACAUACAUACAUACACACACACACACACACACACACACACAGAGAGAGAGAGAGAUAGGGGAGAGAGAAGGAAGCGAAAGAGAAGGAGAUGGAAACGUAGAAAGGCAGCUGCUGGUGUAGUCGCAGCAGCGACGGUAGCAACCCACAGCCACCAUUACUGACGACGCAGGCCGACUACAAGGUAGGUUUGUCAUUGUGCGCUCAGUGUUUAAUUAGAGGCUGUAUCGACCAGGACGAAAAGGAUAGAUACUGUAGACGGGGAUAUGCGGCGGAGGGAUAUGGAAGGAAGGUAGGUGGAUACGUCUCUAGAUGGGCCCCGCACCUGCAAUUACCCAAUCGCGUCACGGUAAUGGAUUACCGAUUGGAGAGAAGCAGAGGAUCUGGUUCCGUGUUCGAUUCAGUCGCUGACCUCGAGGACGAGGACCAGUUUAAGGGUAGGAGGGUAGACAAGAAGUCGUCACAGUACCGAGUAUAGGAUUGAGUACCGGGCAUUACGGGAGACUCGCUACGGGGCCAAUUUACCUCGCCAAUCUAUGCCUCGUAAUUGGGAAUUUUAUAAUAUUUUUGGAAGCGAGCCAGUCUCUCUCACCCGACGAAGACUAACCGACCAGCAACGAAGGAUGAAGGACGAAGGGCAGAGGUAGAAAGGGAACGGGUUAUAACGGGGGACGCGGAGGAGGGCCAGCAACCUCUGGGGAAGAUGGAUAUCCUCUUUUUGAGGGCCCCACAGGAACGACGCUCGCCACCGAAUGAAAAAUGCACACGGCUAAAAUUCACCGCCGCAAAAAGGGUGCAAGCGAUUUGGAAGCAUACCAAAUUGUAAUCGUCGGAAAUCGACGAUUAAUUUAUCACGGAAGUAGCCCCGUCCUCCUCGAACUCCUCCUCAACUUCUCUGAAUCCCUUUCCACACCACCCAUCUACGAUAGAACUCUUUAGCUACCAUCGACUCUUACUCUCUUUUCAUUCCCUUGCCAUUCCCUUCUUCGAGCAUCGUUAACGUAUGAUUCAAUGGGAAACUACCACGUUUCGUACUCUCUAGAUCGUUCAUGCGAAUUUUCAACAAUACUAUCGCAGGUAGCUACAAGCACACAUAUAACUUAUAUAACUGUGAUCAAGUUACAAAUAACUUUGAAACUUUUCGGUCUACUUCAUUGAACUACGAUUCCAAUUGGCCGUUUCUCGUAGAGGAGUUAUAAUGUACCCCCUUUAAAACACAAAGAUAACAUUUCUUUGGACUAAUGAUUGUCAAGUUGAAUUGGUAUAACUAAUGAACUGGCCAAUUUUAUUUAUUCCUGUCGUUACAGUUCAAAGUCAACCACUUACGAGGACGAUUAUUAUUUUCGAUCACGAAUAUCCUUCUCACAGAAUACUAUGUACUCUCUUAUUCUCCUGGAAUCGUGGAGACGAUAAAGGACUUAGAGUCUCGGUAUGAUAAUCGUGAGACGGUUAGCGUGCUGGCGCAGCUGCUAGUUGCGAAAGUGUUCUACCCACUUCUCCGACGCCAUCGAAAGCGGCACGUGAAACGGCCGGCUUCGCUCGAGGCAACUUUAUAUUCAAAGCGCAAGCGGACGUCUUUGAAAAUGCAAUCGCAAAAUACAAUACCCUGCAUUACCUAUAUCCCGUCCCAGAAAAGAGAUAUCGUAAAAGAUGAUGUUAUACAUUAUGCGGCGCGAGGCUCCGAACUCUCUCCCUCUUCUCCCCUUCCCUUCUCUCUUUCUUUUUCCUUCUCUUUAUCUCUUCCCCACCUCCAGUCCCCGAUCGGUCGCCGUAUGUGCCUCGUUCAUCCUCCCUUUCACCCGCCUACUACCCUUCUCAACCUCCCUCUUACCCAAGCCAAAACGUCCGUAGCACCGUCCACCGCCAAUACGUUAAUAAAAUUCGAGAGCUGAAAGGGGCGCGCUAUGGAUAUACGUACUUCACCUACGAUAUUGAAGUAUCCCCAAGGAAAAUCCUAUUCCACUUUUUCCGCCUCCCACCCCACAGUAACCGGACGGUUCUUCGGAUGCGCCUGAAGAUACGUGAAAAAUCGUUCCCGGACUUUUAUUAUUUAUUACUGGCACCGUUUGUCCGAGGUAAGGUUGCGAAUUUAUAAUAAUAUGGAAGAAAACAACAUUUUUUUAAAUAAUUUUUUCCCAAUUAAACAAUAAUAUAUCCGUUGAAGAUUAACUUAUUAUUACGAACUGGUCAACAUUUUAUGCGUUCAUUCACGUGAUAAUUAAUUGUACUUCGACAGAGUUAUUUGUUAAAUUUACAGUACGAAACAAUAUUUCUAAGUGUUUUUAUAUAACGUAUAAAAUGUAUAUUGGAAUUGGUACAGAACUACUUACUGGUACAGAAGCUCAAAACUUGUCACAUAUAGAAUACGGAAGAAGAGAACACUGACAACAGUGAGAACUUAAGUGGUUCAGCUUUGCGAAAGGAGAAACACGCUGGUUUAGUGGUUUACAUUAACGGUCUUGACUCGACGGAAGUGGAACGUAUUUCACCGGGAAUUGCUGUCUGCGUUGCCCAUCGAGUAAGAAAUAAAGCUCUUGCAUCGGAUAUGUAUUCAAAUGUUUCCCGCUCAAUUACAAGGCAGUAACAUUUUCAUGCAUCCCCUUAAACAAACUGUUAUAUCAAGUGAAACGUUAUAACAAGAUAAUCCUUCAGGAGCACAUAAGAUUUUUUUCAAAUAAAAAAAUUAAUGGCAUCUUUCUUUCUCAAAUGCCUGUUUUUAACUCAUAAAUUCAGAUGAAAGAACGAAGCUCCAUGUCGUAAAAAGCAUUUCACGAGCAUUCGUUAUCGCGAUGUAAGAAUAGUACGGCUAGUCGCGGAUAAGGUCGACGCACAAUGAAGUGGGUCGUCGGAGUUAAUGGAGGAGUGGAUGAAAAGUAGAAGAAAAGGUGAAAAAGACAAGGAUGAUAGAGGAAGGGCCAAGGGUGCAGCGCAGUUACGGGGCGAUCAGGAUACAGAAGAGGUCUGCGGCACCCGCGGCUACUCUGCUUUCUGUCUGAGCUUCAUCCGGGAAGCUUUGCAUGGAAAUGCUGCCGUUGAAUUACCCACCACCGUUAACUUCAGCACAAUGCUCGUCACAUUAUGUUGCAUCAGAAAGUACCCAACGCCAGAGAUUCUGGUCUUCAGCGUCGUCGCAGCAUCCCUUUCUUUCUCUCUCUCUCUCUCUCUCUCUCUCUCUCUUUUUAAUUCAUUGUCUCUUCGCAUAUCUGCUCUUUUUCUUAUUCCAAGACUCCCUCUCUCCUUGGGAAUUCAGUGCAAAAUUAAUGUGUUCGUUCCCCUUUACAAAGUAUAUAUCACAAAAGUUUUUUCGAAUCGUCAUUUAUUUAUAUAUGGGUACCAUAGUUUUGUAAUAUUUUAUGAUAUGGAUAUUUUAAAGCAAGAACAGUAUAUAUCUACUUCAUGGUCAGAUGAGGAACGCGUCAAAUAAUCGAGAUUUAUCUCGAGCAAAAUAUCUUGAAUCGUCAUAUAAAAUUUACAGCGUAUGCAUGCAUAUGCCAGUGAUCAAUUCCUAAGCUUCUUUCGCGUUGUUCCCCUCUUCUCUUUUUUAUCCGCGAGCAAAUCUUGUAAAAAGUAUUUCUACCAUCUGCGUAACCACGAAACAAAAUGCUAUCGCGCUCGACUCUUUUACAAUUGCUCUCUAUGCAAGCGCGGCAGAUGCUGCGCUACGUGGCUUCUGUUGCAUAGAACUUCGUCUCGAAGUUACGUUCAGUCGAAACAAGAGAAGGAGAAAGAGGAUGAGGAUGAGAGGAGAAGUAAAAGCGAGAAGAUCAAUAAGUUUCUCCUACGAGAGAUGUACUUUUAAUCGCAAACACGUCAACUCCUUAAUUACAAAAACUUCCCCAAUUUCCAGGUUAUAAGAACACUCGUUUCAACUAAUUUAUAACAAAAGCCUGACCACGAAUAUUGCUGGCCUUAUGCGAGGAAAGUAAUAUCAACUGAUGCCGAAAGCACAUAAAGAGUUAUAUAAUCAAAGUGCAAAAGGAGACUUGCGUAGAAAAGAAGAAAUCCUUACCGAUCGAAAAAAGAGAAUUAGAAGAAAGAAAUGAAAAGCAUGGAAGAGAGCCUUCGAUCUAUUUUGCGAGAAGAUGACCAAACGAAGAUUUUUUCCUCUUUCCGAGGAAUACGACGAUGGCGAAAAGAACGACACAAUAGCAAUUUCGCGAGAACGAGAGUAUCGCUCGCACGUGUCACGUAGUAAGGAAGAAUGGUGGAAGAUAGCGGGGAGAGAAUCGUCCAGGAAUAACAGCGAUUACUUACAAGAAACGUGCGACUUGAUACAAGGAGCUUUCCUAACUCCCUUACUUCUCUCUUCCUCUUUCACCUUCACCUUCUCCGAUAGCUCGUCUUAACCGCCGUGGGCGCACAGGGUUCGCAGAGUUAAUUGCGAAGCUUUGUCAGAGUCUAGGUGAUACAUGCAAGGAUACUUCCCUUACGGUGAGGGAUGUCGCUGAGGGUCGAUAACGCCGUCUCGGGAUGAAACUGUCGUGCCUGCUGACGUAUAUUUAAAUGGGUCAACCGUAUGAAGCGCGUACGAAACGCUUCAUCUUCCUAGACGAAAUUUCGUGAACUUUAUCUCUGUUUCUCUUGCUUUCUUUUAGUAAAUAGGACGAUAGGUUCUACUAUCGAUCCAAAGACAUGACAAUGUGGACUUAAGUUCUUAUCUUUAAGAUAAUAAACAGUUUUAUAAUCGUUGAGUAGAUCUCUUAUGAAUUA